UACGUAGGUGGCAAGCGUUGUUCGGAAUUAUUGGGCGUAAAGAGCGUGUAGGCGGCCUGACAGGUCUGCUGUGAAAACUCGAGGCUCAACCUCGAGAUGUCGGCGGAAACCGUCUGGCUAGAGUCCGGAAGAGGAGAGUGGAAUUCCUGGUGUAGCGGUGAAAUGCGCAGAUAUCAGGAAGAACACCUAUGGCGAAGGCAGCUCUCUGGGACGGUACUGACGCUGAGACGCGAAAGCGUGGGGAGCGAACAGG
rnacentral:rRNA from 1 species